rnacentral:lncRNA from 1 species
GACGGUGGGCAUAGUCGGAGCCGGGGUGAGCGGACUGGCGGCCUGCAAGUGCGUGAAGGAGAAGGGCUUCCGCCCCAUCGUCUUCGAGGCCGGCGCCGGGAUCGGGGGAGUUUGGACGCGCACCUUCGCGUCGACGAGGCUCCAGACACCUCGGGACGGGUACCGCUUCUCCGACUUCCCAUGGCCGGAGGAGGUGACGGACACCUUCCCGACCCACAGCCAGGUGGUCGACUACCUCCGGGCUUACGCCGAACGCUUCGACCUCCUCCGCCACAUCAAGUUCAACUCCAAGGUUCUCCGGAUCGACUACGCCGCCGUCUCGGCGGAGGAGAUGCCCUCGUGGGAGCUUUGGGC